rnacentral:rRNA from 1 species
UACGUAGGGCGCAAGCGUUAUCCGGAAUUAUUGGGCGUAAAGAGCUCGUAGGCGGUCUGUCGCGUCGGCUGUGAAAUCCCGGAGCUCAACUCCGGGCCUGCAGUCGAUACGGGCAGACUGGAGUUCGGUAGGGGAGACUGGAAUUCCUGGUGUAGCGGUGAAAUGCGCAGAUAUCAGGAGGAACACCGGUGGCGAAGGCGGGUCUCUGGGCCGAUAUUGACGCUGAGGAGCGAAAGCGUGGGGAGCGAACAGG